rnacentral:lncRNA from 1 species
GCCUGUUUUUAUAGGACACACAAGAUGUUCAAAUUCAAAUGGCAAUGCUAAUGUUUACCAUUUAACCGUUUCAAGGUCAUUCAACCACUGCUCAGAGAGGACAGAGGCCAAAUAAUUGCCACAAAAAUGAUAUGUGCAAAUUCUUUACCAACUGCCUGCCAAAUUUCAUUAAUUUACACUCAUUGAGAUCAUUGGAUGCUUCCACCAUCUUGCAAACCACAUGAUAUUUAAGUCAAGACCCUGUAACUUUAUGUGGCACAUGUUACCCAGGCAAGACAAAAUUUAUACAAAUGAAUGGAGACCUGUCCAUGGGACACAGAUGAUGCCCAAUUGCAUAUCACAUACUAAAAGUUGUAAAAGGACAUAAUUGAAGAAUAUUAAAAGUGACACUACCCAAAUUCAAACUUGAUCUGUUUUUUGUUGUAUGAAGCAUUUUGUAUAAGACGGACAAUGGUAGAACUUAUAUAUAAUAAUGGUUGGGGCAUAAAAAGUCUUAUUUUGAGUAAGAAACUCUGAAAAAAGAC